rnacentral:misc_RNA from 1 species
CGCGCCCGCGUGGAGAUCUUCGCAGGUCGCUCGUUUUCUACUUCGUUGCGCUGUCUCCGUGUUUGGGGCACCUCGCUAACUUUCCACCGAACCCAGUACGCCCAGUCGCACGCACAGCCGGACACGCGCUGAUGAGUCUUCAGUUUUACGAUGGGGGGUCCUUUGCAGACUGCCCAUUCAUCCAGUACCCGCACGGCAUGGGGAAGCAGCGAGCACCCGCCAUGGUGCUCGCCGCCGCCGCCGCCGCUGUCUCCCAAGCGGCGACAAGCACAAGUUCUCCGAUGGAGGCGGCAGUGCGCCGCGUUCCAGGCGCCGCGGGUGCUGCGCAAGUCAGCAGAAGCGGUCCACUGGCAUCAGCAUACUCGUCCCUACAACCCUCCACCUCGGAGGCCCUGACGGUGGUCCCACAAGGGACUUCCGUGCUGAGGUGCGGCACUUCGGCUCUUGCCACGACCGCCUCUUCCUCCGCGACAGGUGAAACGGCUGAAGAGACAACAGCGCGCACCGCACAGAUGCUUCAAGAAACCCUAGCCGCUUCUCGCCAGACCACAGAGGUGUUCGAUAGCCACAGCCUCGCUGUGCAGAGCCGCCUCCGCUCCGCCUCGAACAAGUCGAACAGCCAGGCACUCGCGCUGACGAUCACGGCGGCGGGCGGCAGCUCCACCGGCGUCGAUGGAGCGAUGCAUGACCCGGGCCCCAUUGUGCGCUCGCCGACGACGAAAAAAAAGUCCCUCUUCACAGAUGCCCUGCUGCUGCGCUCCGGCGGCCGCAGCAGCAACGACAACAAGGGGCAGCAGGCGGGCGAUGGCGGCAGCGCAUCCGGCGACCUCGCCGCGAGAACGUCGGCUUCGUCAAUGAUGCUGGCGGCGGUCUCGGAGUACAGCGCUGGUGGAGGUGGCGCCGCCGCCGCUUCGGCCAACAACCGCAAGGUGGUGGUCCCGUUCUGCGUGAGCAGCUGGCAGAAUCGUAAAAAGCUUAUCGUGCCGGUGGAGCAGCGUCUUGCCCAGCAGCAGGAUGACCGACUGGAUCCGGGUGGCGGCAUCGGUGACGCCGUGAUGGACCUGGCGGUGGCGAUGCAGCAGGCAUCGAAGGAGGUGGCCGCGGAGCUGGCAGAGAAGGAGAGGGCAAAGGCAGAGGAAGAAGAGCGCCGCCAAGCCGCGCUGGAGGCAGCGGAGGCGGAGAAGGCGCGUCAGCUGCUCGAGCAGAAGGCGGCCGAGCUUGCAGCCCAUGCGCAGCGCCGGGAGACACGGGAGCAGCGGAUGGAGCGAAUCCGGCUGGAGCGCGAGCUGCGAGAGCAGGAGAAGCUGGCGAAGCAACAGCAGCGACUGCGCGAGCGGGCCGCCACGAGGCUGAACAUCACCGUGGAGGAUCUCGAGGCGGACGAGCAGCUACUAAGAUCCGUAGAGGAAGCUUCUGUAUACGCGAAGAGCGGUAGUGGUGCUAUGGCCCCGGCCGACCCCACGGCGGCGCCAUCGUCCAAGGAGAAGCAAGAGCCAUUCGGGGGGCUCGGCCGACAAGUCCCCAGCGACAACGGCGACGACGACGGCGACGGCACCGUAGGCGGUAGCAGGAAGCCUGCCGUGCGCGGCGGCGUCUUCGCGAGUGCGGUAAUCAGCAAUGAGGGCAUUCAGCGCGAGAUGCAGGCACUCGCCGAAGUGGAACAGCAGCAGCACCACCACCACCACGAUGGCAUUCGUCUGCGCGAGGACGACGAGGCGAGUGUCGCCGACGAUGACGACGACGACGGCGGCAGCUUCCAGCUCAACAAGUUCGUCAAGAAGAAGCAACGUCUGUGACGCACGCAGGCGAGAGCUUGAUCGAUGUGUCCGCGUGGAUGGUAAUGGAGGUGCGCAAAGUAUAGCUUGGUGUGUGCGUGUGUGUGUGUGUGUGCGUGUGUGUGUGUGCGUGUGUGUGUGCGUGUGCGUGUGCGUGUGCGUGUGUGUGUGCGUGUGUGUGUGUGUGUGUGUGUGUGCGUGUGUGCGUGUGUGUGUGUGUGUGUGUGCGUGUGUGUGUGUGUGUGCGUGUGUGUGUGCGUGUGCGUGUGUGCGUGUGCGUGUGUGCGUGUGCGUGUGUGCGUGUGUGUGUGCUGAGCGCGCUCUGAGCGUGGACAGCUCGACCUUUG